AUGGAGCAGCAGCAGGGAUGUGAGGAGAAAAGCAGCAGGGACAUGAGGAGAGAAGCAGCAGGAGGCAUGAGAAGAAGAAGCACCAGCAAAGAAAGAGGAGCAGCGAACAUUAGAGUUUGGGUUCAGAGAAGAAGAAGUGGCAGCAGCAACUUGAGGUUCAGAGCAGAGAAUCAGCAAAGGAUGCGCAAAGAGAAGGAGCAGCAGGGGCAUCAGGAAGAGAGGAUCGGCGGAGAGGGAGAGGUCACGCGGAGGACCAGACGCCCGUGCUCGCCCUUGUCUGGUCGGGCGCGCGAGGUGAGGCGGUGGCUUGAGAUGGUGGCGCUGGUGGAUGAAGUUGGUGGUGAGUGGUGGAUGUUUGUGGUGGGUGUGCUGAUGGUGCGGAGGCGCACCACCACGCCGGCCUAG
rnacentral:rRNA from 1 species